rnacentral:rRNA from 1 species
UACGUAGGUCGCAAGCGUUGUCCGGAUUUACUGGGCGUAAAGAGCGCGCAGGCGGCUGGUCAAGUCCGAUGUGAAAUCUCCCGGCUCAACUGGGAAACUGCAUCGGAAUCCGAUCGGCUUGAAGGUGGGAGAGGGUAGUGGAAUUCCCGGUGUAGUGGUGAAAUGCGUAGAUAUCGGGAGGAACACCAGUGGCGAAGGCGACUACCUGGCCCAUUCUUGACGCUGAGGCGCGAAAGCUAGGGGAGCGAACGGG